rnacentral:rRNA from 1 species
UACGUAGGUGGCAAGCGUUGUCCGGAUUUAUUGGGUUUAAAGGGUGCGUAGGCGGCUUUGUAAGUCAGUGGUGAAAUAUGGCAGCUUAACUGUCAAGGUGCCAUUGAUACUGCGGAGCUUGAGUACAGAUGAGGUAGGCGGAAUUGAGCGGUGUAGCGGUGAAAUGCUUAGAUAUCGUCAAGAACACCUAUAGCGAAGGCAGCUUACUAGGCUGUAACUGACGCUGAGGCACGAAAGUGUGGGGAUCAAACAGG